GGGGAUGUGGCUCAGUGGUAGAGUGCUUGCUUGGCAUGUGUGAAGCCCUGGGUUAGAGUCCUAGUACCA
rnacentral:tRNA from 1 species